rnacentral:sRNA from 1 species
AUAUCAUUUUAAGGAAUUCUAACAGAAGUUUCUAUUGGUAGUGUAAGUUGGGCAAAGUGUCUUAUUUUUUUAAAGUAUGUAAAAGUAAAAUUACAUGUUAAUACGUAGUAUUAAUGGCGAGACUCCUGAGGGAGCAGUGCCAGUCGAAGACCGAGGCUGAGACGGCACCCU